GAUGAACGCUGACAGAAUGCUUAACACAUGCAAGUCCACUUGAAUUUGGGUUUUUACCUUAGGUUUGGGUGGCGGACGGGUGAGUAACGCGUAAAGAACUUGCCUCACAGCUAGGGACAACAUUUGGAAACGAAUGCUAAUACCUAAUAUUAUGAUAAUAGGGCAUCCUAUAAUUAUGAAAGCUAUAAGCGCUGUGAGAGAGCUUCGCGUCCCAUUAGCUAGUUGGAGAGGUAACGGCUCACCAAGGCGAUGAUGGGUAGCCGGCCUGAGAGGGUGAUCGGCCAAAAGGGGACUGAGACACGGCCCUUACUCCUACGGGAGGCAGCAGUGGGGAAUAUUGGACAAUGGACCGAGAGUCUGAUCCAGCAAUUCUGUGUGCACGAUGAAGUUUUUCGGAAUGUAAAGUGCUUUCAGUUGGGAAGAAACAAAUGACGGUACCAACAGAAGAAGUGACGGCUAAAUACGUG
rnacentral:rRNA from 1 species